AAAUUGAAGAGUUUGAUCAUGGCUCAGAUUGAACGCUGGCGGCAGGCCUAACACAUGCAAGUCGAACGGUAACAGGAAGCAGCUUGCUGCUUCGCUGACGAGUGGCGGACGGGUGAGUAAUGUCUGGGAAACUGCCUGAUGGAGGGGGAUAACUACUGGAAACGGUAGCUAAUACCGCAUAAUGUCGCAAGACCAAAGAGGGGGACCUUCGGGCCUCUUGCCAUCGGAUGUGCCCAGAUGGGAUUAGCUUGUUGGUGGGGUAACGGCUCACCAAGGCGACGAUCCCUAGCUGGUCUGAGAGGAUGACCAGCCACACUGGAACUGAGACACGGUCCAGACUCCUACGGGAGGCAGCAGUGGGGAAUAUUGCACAAUGGGCGCAAGCCUGAUGCAGCCAUGCCGCGUGUAUGAAGAAGGCCUUCGGGUUGUAAAGUACUUUCAGCGGGGAGGAAGGGAGUAAAGUUAAUACCUUUGCUCAUUGACGUUACCCGCAGAAGAAGCACCGGCUAACUCCGUGCCAGCAGCCGCGGUAAUACGGAGGGUGCAAGCGUUAAUCGGAAUUACUGGGCGUAAAGCGCACGCAGGCGGUUUGUUAAGUCAGAUGUGAAAUCCCCGGGCUCAACCUGGGAACUGCAUCUGAUACUGGCAAGCUUGAGUCUCGUAGAGGGGGGGUAGAAUUCCAGGUGUAGCGGUGAAAUGCGUAGAGAUCUGGAGGAAUACCGGUGGCGAAGGCGGCCCCCUGGACGAAGACUGACGCUCAGGUGCGAAAGCGUGGGGAGCAAACAGGAUUAGAUACCCUGGUAGUCCACGCCGUAAACGAUGUCGACUUGGAGGUUGUGCCCUUGAGGCGUGGCUUCCGGAGCUAACGCGUUAAGUCGACCGCCUGGGGAGUACGGCCGCAAGGUUAAAACUCAAAUGAAUUGACGGGGGCCCGCACAAGCGGUGGAGCAUGUGGUUUAAUUCGAUGCAACGCGAAGAACCUUACCUGGUCUUGACAUCCACAGAACUUUCCAGAGAUGGAUUGGUGCCUUCGGGAACUGUGAGACAGGUGCUGCAUGGCUGUCGUCAGCUCGUGUUGUGAAAUGUUGGGUUAAGUCCCGCAACGAGCGCAACCCUUAUCCUUUGUUGCCAGCGGUCCGGCCGGGAACUCAAAGGAGACUGCCAGUGAUAAACUGGAGGAAGGUGGGGAUGACGUCAAGUCAUCAUGGCCCUUACGACCAGGGCUACACACGUGCUACAAUGGCGCAUACAAAGAGAAGCGACCUCGCGAGAGCAAGCGGACCUCAUAAAGUGCGUCGUAGUCCGGAUUGGAGUCUGCAACUCGACUCCAUGAAGUCGGAAUCGCUAGUAAUCGUGGAUCAGAAUGCCACGGUGAAUACGUUCCCGGGCCUUGUACACACCGCCCGUCACACCAUGGGAGUGGGUUGCAAAAGAAGUAGGUAGCUUAACCUUCGGGAGGGCGCUUACCACUUUGUGAUUCAUGACUGGGGUGAAGUCGUAACAAGGUAACCGUAGGGGAACCUGCGGUUGGAUCACCUCCUUACCUUAAAGAAGC
rnacentral:rRNA from 1 species